rnacentral:rRNA from 1 species
UUCCAGACUCCUAGGGAGGCAGCAGUGAGGAAUAUUGGUCAAUGGCCGGAAGGCUGAACCAGCCAAGCCGCGUGAAGGACGAAGGUGCCAAGCAUUGUAAACUUCUUUUGUCAAGGGACAAAAUCAGGCUCGAGAGCCUGACCGAGGGUACUUGAAGAAAAAGCAUCGGCUAACUCCGUGCCAGCAGCCGCGGUAAUACGGAGGAUGCGAGCGUUAUCCGGAUUUAUUGGGUUUAAAGGGUGCGCAGGCGGCACGGCAAGCCGGCGGUCAAAUCGCGGGGCGCAACCCCGCCCAGCCGUCGGAACUGCCGGGCUAGAGUGGGCGAGAAGUGCGCGGAAUGCGUGGUGUAGCGGUGAAAUGCAUAGAUAUCACGCAGAACUCCGAUUGCGAAGGCAGCGCACCGGCGCCCUACUGACGCUCAGGCACGAAAGCGUAGGUAUCGAACAGGAUUAGAUACCCCCGUA